UGAAAUGUACAUAUUGCAAAAUUCCACAUUAAACAAUGACUUUCUGUGUCCAAUUUUCCUGGUUUUAAUUCAAAACACCUAGAAAAGACAAUAUUGACUCAACUCAUAUCAAAGGCAAUAGAUGUUUCAGUCAAGUAAGAUGAGAGGGUCAGUGUCAUCCUGUUGUCACAGCUAUUAUGAGCUGGUAGAUACUACAAAAUGUAAACAAACAAGAGUUGCUUAGGGGAACAUAAGCUGCAAUAAGCUCUCAGUUCUCUAUUUGACACCCAUUUAGUGAGUAUUUGGCAAUUUUUCUCACCGUUGACUUUGUUCUAGUGAAGUAAAGGGAGACAGAAGUACUGAAGAGAAGAAAUGCUCAACUGGAUAAAGGCAGGAAGAAGAAAUAUUUGGUAGACUGUUUUUCACUGCCUUUCAGUAGGACAAGGUUGAUCCUGCUGCACACACAGAUUACCAGAGAGGUACCGUCUGGUUUUGCAGAGUGGGGGAGCAGCCCCUUGAGACAUAGCUAAAGCAACAAGCAGAGAAAGAAGGAAGAACUGUGCAAAUCUGUCACAUGAGGACACGCCUGUUCCUGGAGACAGUCAGUUCACUAUCACUGAAAAGAAGCUAGAAGAACAAAUAACAGGGCCAUUGAGAGGAAGAUUUGAGCAUUGGAAGAAGGAGUAAAUGAUGUACUGGCUUACAAACCUGACUGCUCAUCAGAAUCAUCUAAGACAAUUUUAAAACAUGAAAGCAGGAGACAGUCUGAUUCACUAGGUCUACGGGAAAGCUGAGCACCAGUGUUUGGAGCAAGAAAUCCCUGGUUAUUCUGUUGCAGGCACCUGCCAGUGGAACCUAUGGACUCAGUUCUCCUCAAGGCCUCUUUCAGGUUUAAAAUUCUCUAACAUAGCUUUAAAUAUGUUUACCUUGUAUUGAGCAGACAUGUUGUGGGAUGCAAGGUGCUAUUUGUAUUUCAUUCAUUACCUUUUCUAAUGCUUCUUCCAUUCCAUGGGCUUGUCCCUUUUAUAAAUGAGUAAAGUGAUACUUUGUAAGGUUAUGGUGAUGAAAUAGAAACAUGAAUACACAUACAGCCCAAUCCACAUUACGUUGUGCCCGAAGGAGAGAGUUGUGCCUGGAAUCAAGGGAUUAGGGAAGUCAGAAAAGAGGUGCCUCUAGAAAGAUGGUAACACCUGUGCCAGUUUUAUGAGCAAUGGCUCCUAUAAAGUCUUCUAUCACCAAUAGAGCAAUUAAUUACCAGUCAUUCAACUCAUCCCUGAAUCCUGAAGUGCCUUCUGUAGUAUGUAAAUACAGAUAAUUCAAGGACGAGGUAUAAUGGAAAGGGGAGAUACAAGAGAAAAACCUGGGAAAAAUAUUUUUCCAGAAGGGGUGAUAUUUAUCCAAUUAAUGCUUGGCUUCCUGCCAAUAUUUAGUGCAUAGCUGUACAUAGAGCCACACAGAAUUUUCUCAAGAGGAGUUGGUUGGGCAGGAAACUAUGGUAAAUGUGUAAAGCAAACCUAAUAAUACAAACACCAUCAGUGUGACCAGUUUCAGAAAGGGUGAAGUGCCUGUAUUAUUAUACACUUCAAUUUCCAAUGCCUUAGUUGCAGAAAGGCAGCAUAGGCACUUUGUGAUGAUCAGGUAACCUCAUUCACCUCUUUAGCAUCCUUUUUCUCUCCAGUAUAGGAAAAUAGAUUUUUUUUUUUCAAUCCAAAGCCAACCAGAUUUGCUAAAUAACCUCUGACUAAGUAAAGGUCUCAGGUCUUAGAUCUCUUUCUUCAUUAACAAGUCAACAUCCAGCAUUGUUGCUUCCAGCUUUUAAAAAAAUCAAACAAAGAUGCUUGCAGACAUCAUCAGCAGGGCCAGUGAGGCAUGCAUUACAUUUCCAGAAUCAUAAAUAACAAAGGCAGGAGCCUUUACUUAGUGUGUAUGCCUGUGUGUGUAUCGUCAUAUAAUAAUAUUAUGAUUAGAUUUCACGUUUUAAAACAACCCUAUUUAUACUAGAGGUGAGGACCUUUCCAGAAAUAACAAAAGGGAACUUGGGCUGUACAUUACCACUUACUCAGGUGUUUUGUGUUCUUCUGUAAUAAGAUGAUUAAUGACAAAUAAGUUAAUUGGCCUUUGAAAUGCCGUUCUCUCUGUAUCCAUGACUUGCGCUAUGUUGACAUAUUCUUGUGGUGUGGUAGGAGUUAUUAAGAAAUUGUUUUAGGCAGAUAGAGAGGAAAAGGGGUACAUGGAAGGUUUUUUCACAGCUCCAAAAAAGUGUUUCUUGUCUAGCAUGAAAGUCCUGGUUCUUAGACCCAGGCUGGCAACCUUUAAUACGCAAAUGCAAGCCGUUGGAAACCGGGUCCACCCAACAUGGCAAUUCCCACUGUUGCUCUCUUGCCCUUGCCCCUACAUGUGCCUGACAGCAUGGCCGCCCCCACAUAUCCCUACAUGUGUAGAACAUUAUGGUGCCCUGUAUUUGCAUAUUAAAGAACUGGGAUGGGAGGGCCAGGUUUUUCACGGUCUAUAUAAACGACAUGCAUGGUCAAACUAAUCCCCUGAGCCCUAUGGAAAUCAGACACCAUCUCCUCCAGCCUUUGCAUAGAACUGGCUGGUAUCCUCCGAAUUCAGGGUCUCCUCUUUAGGCUUUGGAGCCCCCCUCCCUCUGUCUCUGUACUGGGGAGCUUCUUCCUUCUACCUUCUCCCCUUUUGCCUAUUAAACUCUCCUCUCCUUAAAACCACUCCACGUGUAUCGGUGUCAUUUUAUCUAAUUCAACUCGAAACGAAGAACCUGGUGUUCCUCCCUUCAUCAAAGCCAUAUCAGUGGCACAAAAUAUCUGUGACCUCUAAAGAGAGAAUACCUUCAAAUCUGAAGGGUUUAGAAAGAAAUUAGAUGGAAGACCAAGUAUGAGGCUCUUUAUAGUGGGACAGUAAGACUACAUAGUAGUAGAUAUCUACGCAGCUUGCUUCAGAGAUAAGAGCUGGACCUUAAUCACGUCCAGUAAAGAGCACAUACUCUGUGAGUGUUUGAUAAAC
rnacentral:lncRNA from 1 species